CUAGAUUCUCCACUGAUAUAAAUCUAACUGUCUCAGCCAGGGAUAGUUCACUACAGUAUGGUUUCUCACAUAUGCCCUCAGGCCUUACCAACAUUGAAUUUUUUCUGAAUAUUCACAGUAUAUCAAUCAAAAGCACAGGUGGCUCUGUCACUGCUGCCAUCAGCAUAAUAAUCCAACUGUGCUUCUAUAUUAACAUGCAGAUAACAUGCUUUGUUGUAGAAGGUUUGUUAAAUUCCCAGCUCUGCACAUUACCUCUUUACAAAUACCUUAGCACAGACAAGUCAAAAAAUACUGAUUUCAGCGGAUGAUUUUUUUUUUUGCAUUUUUUCCACUACAAGGAUGCAAAGCUAAGUCAAAUGCUUUAUUUUUUUAUACCCAUGAAAACAUCUCUGUAAGCAAACCACCACAAGCACUAAAGGUAAUGGGUAGGGGGGCGAUUCAAUCCAAUCCACAUAAAGAUUGAAAUCCCUUAUUUGCAUAUUCAAAUUUAAAAAGGUCAAAAAACUGCAUAUUUUGUCAUUUUCAGCUGGCCGGAUUGUACAAGUCUCGUGGCAUUAUGAAUUAUCCUGAGAGAAGUGUUGAGGUUGAAACCAAGCCUGAACUCUAUAGAUGCCUCAUUAUAUUAUUGAUCUUGAACAGUCUGCAGAGAAACAAUAUUGUGGCUACCAACGUACCAGAGGAUUGCAGCUGAAUAGGGUCUAGUCAUUUUCAACUUGCAUGCUAUACCCUCUCUUCUUUGUUAAAUAUUGUUUUUCACACAAAUGGAUGGGACUUCUUAAUAAAUCUUUAUAAAAUAUCUUAUCAUUUCUGCUUCAGCAGUCAGGAUGGAUACACCUCAAUAGUUGACUACAGCCAAUAGUGUCACUGGACUGAGAUGGAUGAGAGAGUCCUGUCAUCAAAGGAUUUCAGUAGUUCUUCAUUCCCUCUAUUGUCAUUUUAUAACUACUGUCGAAAAUUAUGUAUUAUGUUCAUUUAAUAUGCUAAACAUUGUGUUGCCUUCUUAUUAAAGUGUUACAAUACUCGUUUU